rnacentral:lncRNA from 1 species
AGAGGGCUUGAAGGCUAACUACAGUUAGGAGCUAUCUAGAACUAGGGUAACUUUAGGAUAGAGAGUCCACUGCGUGCUAACUUGAUUGUAAUUAAAAUCUAACCACAACUAAUUCUUCUAUUAGUUUUAGGACUUCUUAGGAUCUCUUCUUUAGAACUCUUUUCUCUCUUCUCUUCUACUCUUAAUAAAAAAAAAAAUCCUUAAUAGACUAGGAUAGUCCUACAUAGACCUUUUAGUUGCACGUUAGGUCGACGAUCACUAAAACCCGACUUGCAACCAUUAGACGAAGAAUUAGAAAAGAC